AGCUUAAAGAGCCGCGGUAUUUUGACCGUGCAAAGGUAGCAUAAUCAUUAGUUUUUUAAUUGGGAACUCGUAUGAAUGGUUAAACAAAAGAAUCUCUGUCUUUUUAUCUGAUAUUGAACUUAACUUUUAAGUGAAAAGGCUUAAAUUUCUUAAGGGGACGAUAAGACCCUAUAAAGCUUUAUAAUGAAAUAGUAUUUUUUUGAAUAAAUUUAUAAAAAAUAAAUAAAAUAAUCUUAUUUUGUUGGGGCGACAUAAAUAUAAAUAUAUAAUCUAACUGUUAUAAGAUAAUACAUAGAUAUUUGAAUUAAAUAUAAAUGAUCCUUCUUUUAAAGAUUAAAAGACUAAGUUACUUUAGGGAUAACAGCGUUAUUUCUUUUGAGAGUUCUUAUUGAAAAAGAAGUUUGCGACCUCGAUGUUGAAUUAAAGAAUCUUUAUAGUGCAGCCGUUAUAAAAAGAAGGUCUGUUCGACCUUUAAAUCUUUA
rnacentral:rRNA from 1 species